UUGCAAAUAAAAUCUAAAAAAAAAAAAAAUUAAGAAUUUGGGAGCCAUAGAGCUCAUUUAGAAUUCAUGUCACAAUUCCAUCAGCAUGAUGACGAUGACGAAAUUCAACCAAAAUUCAGCCAAAAUUCAACGAGACUUAUAUGCAGCCCAAAAAGCCGAAGAGCCUCUCGAUUCAGACCAUAAUGACCAUAAGGCGAUAAUUUCAGACUGAAGCGCAGAUGAAGAUCGGGAAUUUUCACUUCUGGAAUUAUUUUUGCAGAUCGAUGCGAUGAUGGGCAAUCGAUCGAUAAAAGAUGGGACAAGGUUUGGAAGGAGGAAAGGACGGAAGGACAUACUGGUGAAUGGUGGUGCUGGUUUGAGGCUGAGGUAGAGUGACGAUGAAGACGACCAAACGCAUGGAGCAAAGCAUGGUCGCCAUGUUUCUUCUUUUGCUACUGUUUGCUUGGGUUUUACCAGGUUCAAUCAAAUUUUACCGCUCGCUCGCACCAACUGCUAAAAACUGCGACUUGAAAGACGACUCUGAGAUCGCUUAAGCUCUAUACUCUGCUUCUUGAAUAACUUAGAAUAUAUGCGUAUAGUUUUUUUUUUUGUCUGUGUGUGCUGAGAGAUGAAACUGAUGUAAGCCACAGCAAAAGAAAGAAAGAUGCCAGUUAAAUAUCUUUGUUUGAGUUUUAUAUGAAAGCCAACAUCAAAUAAUGCCAUACUUUGGAUUCCAAUUGAUAUCUCAUUUGAAGGUAUCUCUUUUGGAGCUGCUAUACCAAAACCAACAUAGAGAGUCGCUGAUGUUGUUGGUAAUAUAUAAAUGUGAUGUUGCGAUGAUGUCCUUUUUGUCUUUACCGAAAUGGAUUUCUCUGUUUUUAAGGCAAAGCAACAUGAAAUUUUUGAGA